CAUUUUGUCUCCAGUGUCUCGUUUGCUGUCCGCGGCGUAGAGGGAAGUGUCUGACUCCGUGGGCGUGAGGCAGGGAGCAGGGGCUAUUGUUUGUGUUUCACGCCGUAGUUUGGUCCGAGGCCUCCGGAGCUUUCCCGGGGCAGUCGGCAGAAGCCGCCGCGACCGCCCCGCCCCUCCCCUCCGUCCCUGGGACCGGGAGGGACCCAGACCGCGUCACGCCCCUCGGCGCUCAACCUUCCCUUCUCUGUCGUUGCGUCCGCAUCGCUUCCCCGGAAUCGGACGGUACCCCAUAGAUGGCCAGCUUUCCCCCGAGGGUCAACGAGAAAGAGAUCGUGAGAUCACGUACUAUAGGUGAACUUUUAGCUCCAGCAGCUCCUUUUGACAAGAAAUGUGGUCGUGAAAAUUGGACGGUUGCUUUUGCUCCAGAUGGUUCAUACUUUGCUUGGUCUCAAGGACAUCGCACAGUAAAGCUUGUUCCGUGGUCCCAGUGCCUUAAGAACUUUCUCUUGCAUGGCACCAAGAAUAUCACCAAUUCAAGCAGUUUAAGGUUGUCAAGACAAAACAGUGAUGGUGGUCAGAAAAAUAAGCCUCGUGAACAUAUUAUAGACUGUGGCGAUAUCGUCUGGAGUCUUGCUUUUGGAUCUUCAGUUCCAGAAAAACAGAGUCGCUGUGUAAAUAUAGAAUGGCAUCGAUUCCGAUUUGGACAGGAUCAGCUACUCCUUGCCACAGGGUUAAACAAUGGGCGUAUCAAAAUAUGGGAUGUAUAUACAGGAAAACUCCUCCUUAACUUGGUAGAUCAUACUGAAGUGGUCAGAGAUUUAACUUUUGCUCCAGAUGGGAGCUUGAUCCUGGUGUCAGCUUCAAGAGACAAAACUCUGAGAGUGUGGGACCUGAAAGAUGAUGGAAACAUGAUGAAAGUAUUGAGGGGCCAUCAGAACUGGGUGUACAGCUGUGCAUUCUCUCCUGACUCUUCUAUGCUGUGUUCAGUGGGAGCCAGUAAAGCAGUGGUGGCAGCAAUAUUGGUGUGAUUGAGGUUAUGCUGGCACCACUCGCACACAGGCGCACAAUGGUGUUAGCUGGGCAGAAAGAGUGGCAUCUCUGGCUACCGGGCUGGGGGCGACCUUUACCAUAGGAUGAAGUAACCUUGCAUUCGGCUGCAAGGUGUACUGUACGUACACAGGUUUUCCUUUGGGAUAUGGAUAAAUAUACCAUGAUACGGAAACUAGAGGGACAUCACCAUGAUGUUGUAGCUUGUGACUUUUCUCCUGAUGGAGCUUUACUGGCUACGGCAUCUUAUGAUACUCGAGUGUAUAUCUGGGAUCCACACACUGGAGACAUUUUGAUGGAAUUUGGGCACCUGUUCCCUCCACCCACUCCAAUAUUUGCUGGAGGAGCAAAUGACCGAUGGGUACGAUCUGUAUCAUUUAGUCAUGAUGGACUGCAUGUUGCAAGCCUUGCUGAUGAUAAAAUGGUGAGGUUCUGGAGAAUUGAUGAAGAUUAUCCAGUGCAAGUUGCACCUUUGAGCAAUGGUCUUUGCUGUGCCUUUUCUACUGAUGGCAGUGUUCUAGCUGCUGGGACACAUGAUGGAAGUGUUUAUUUUUGGGCCACUCCAAGGCAAGUCCCUAGCCUUCAACAUUUAUGUCGUAUGUCAAUCCGGAGAGUGAUGCCCACCCAAGAAGUCCAGGAGCUGCCAAUUCCUUCCAAAGUCUUAGAGUUUCUCUCCUACCGUAUUUAGAGGACGCUGCCUUUCCUCAACCUAGGGACUGACAACACACUUCACACAAACCUAAAGCUUUACUUUAAGGUUUAGGAGAUUAAUUUAAUGAUACAUUCUUGUGUUGCAUUUUGAUCAGUUGAGCUUUUAAAAUAUUAUUUAUAGACCAUAGAACUAUUUCUGAACAUAUCAACUGUAAAUUUUUUUUCUAAACUUAACUGUGAAAACAUAUACAUACAUGUAUAUAUUUAGAUAUAAGCUGCUAUGUGUUGAAUGGACCCCUUUGCUUUUCUAAUUUUUAGUUCCAACAUGUAUAUAUCGCUUCAGUAGAGCCACAGUGUGUAUCUUUGCUGUGAAGUGGAAGGAAUUUUUUUUAUCCUGACAUUGAGUAAGAUGGCAGAUGCUGACUUAAGAAAGGUGAAUUGCCUCAUACAAUAUGUGUAUUUGGUUGGGAGGAUCAGGUGACUGACCUGAAAGUAAAACACAGUUUUUGUCUAGGAAAGGAUUUUGUUUUCCUUAGGAGUGUCAGAGAAGUAGAAUUUGAAUGUGACAUUAUUAAAUAGAAAACAGAACCAGGAUAUAACCAGAAAAAAAGUGUACCCCCCCAUAACUGCCGCUGCAGGCCUUAAUUUUGGAAAGCAGCUUGCUUCUUUAACCCCUGUGGUAUAAGUAUUAUAAAUUUUAGUCAAUUUGAGAAAUCCAUCUACUGUAUUAUUACUAAAUAUUUUUUUGUUUGUACUAAGGGACAGUUAUUUGAAGACUAUGAAGACCAUCAUGGUUUUUUGGGUUUUUUUUAAUUUGUUUUGGAGGGGUGGCUUUUAAUUUUUUACACAUAUCCUGUGUUUCUGAAGGGGAUAAUAUUGGUGACUUGCCAAAGAGAAGCAAUAUAGUAUGUCUGCUUUUGCCUUCUGUUAUUUAUCUUACCUGCAGAUAUUAAGAAUGUAUGCAUUAUGUAAAAUGCUUGAUUAUAUAUUUUUGUUGAGUUUUUUAAUUAAAGACUUGUUAAAAAAAC